UUCGCUAUUAGAAGUAGGAUACACCUAAAAAGAAUCUAUCGAUCUUGAUAGAAAAAGAAAAGUCCUAUGCGAUUUGUGAGACUGAGUUCAGAAAGUCUUUGGCCAAAGUAAAUGUGAAUACUGCCAAAGAGCUUUCAUGGAAUUCGUAAGUGAAGUCAAGUCGAACAAAUCUAGCAUAUGACUGAUGAUAGGGUUUGAUGAGUUUUCUAUGAUCUCCAUC
rnacentral:lncRNA from 1 species